rnacentral:piRNA from 2 species
AUGACUAUCUUAGGACACCUUUGGAU